rnacentral:misc_RNA from 1 species
GGGAGAGGGAGGGAAAUGAGCCUUGUGUUCCCCCUCCAUUUUCCUCACGGAUCAAUGUACAAAGCUGCUGAAGUUCAGCUUAAUUCCCACCUAAGCCAAGACGUAAUUUUGAAUUCAACUAGUUCCUCCAGCUACAAAACCAGCUCCCAGAAUUUCCUUCACUACCUCUCCCUUUUUCUUCUUGUUAUCAAGAAAAAAAAAUAUUGAUAUGCUAGCUCAACAUAGAAACUAAAAUAACAGAUUACAUAACAGGACCUCGCCUCUUUGCACAAAACUUGCCAGCAGGAUUAUGACUUGAACAUCAUGCCUCUCAUUCAGCAUGAUGAAUCAAGUAUGGCUCUUGAUGAAUCCAAACAGAAUCGUAAAGCAAGAUUCCUUCGCAUGAGCACUAUUACGAUUGACUGACGCAGGAAUUACUACUACAGUCAGCACUCUAUCCGUAACCUCCGCAUUUCAGCUCUGAAGGAAGGGCUUGAAUUUAAAGUUCGGCGAGCAAGACUUCUUAUGUCCUCUCGAGAACAGUCCCGUGAGAUACGAACUAGCUCCCACAGUGCACCUCCACCAAUCAGGUCCUUUGCAUUUACUUCAUGCUGUGCCAAGUGGCACAGGGCAAGCUCAAUGUGGCGUCUGAUUGGUGAAGCUUCACUAUUAGCAUUUUGUACAAUCCACGGAAGUGCACCAUCUUCUAUGAGGAGGGAUCUACCACCCUUCGUUCCUGUGGAGGGUAACCCUUGCAUGCAUUUUGCAAAGUUUGCAAUCCCACGUGCAACUUGGGAGAGAACAUCAGGAUGUCCACAUCUCACCAUUCCUAGUAAGGCCAUCCCACCUUCAGACCUCAACUUCAUUUGUAGCUUAUCAUUUCCACACAGAUUUGCAAUAGCUCCAGCUACCAUGCGAAGAGUUUGAGGAUCCUCAGCAUCAGCUGCUGUCAUAGAUAAUAAACUGAUCCCCCCUUGAGUCAUAAUA